UCCCGCGCCGCUCCCUAGCCCCCGCAGCCUUGGUGUCCCCGGGGCCGUGAGGCGCGCGCCGUGACGCCUGGGGCCUCUAGUCCUGUGAAGAACUGGACUAGGUGAGAAGAGGAAGCUUUUGACCCAUGUCACUCCCUGGCGCAGAACUAUAUCCUACCCACAGUCCCUGAAGAGGAAGGAGAAAGAAUAUGAGCAUGAAAUGGAGCGGCUGGCACGGGAGAAGAUUGCCACGCAGCAGCGGCUGGCAGAGCUCAAGCACGAGCUGAGUCAGUGGAUGGACGUACUGGAGAUUGACCGUGUGCUGCGGCAGACGGGCCAGCCCGAGGAUGACCAGGCCUCCACCUCCACCGCCUCUGAGGGUGAGGACAACAUAGACGAGGAUAUGGAGGAGGACCGGGCGGGCCUGGGCCCACCUAAGCUGAGCCAUCGUCCCCAGCCGGAGCUGCUGAAGUCCACCCUGCCACCCCCCAGCACCACCCUGCGCCUCUGCCUCCACACCCACACCCU
rnacentral:sRNA from 1 species